CUUUAUAUAAACAUCCCACAUAUAUGCUAGAGGAUAUGGCUCUAGUGUCUCUACCCGACGCCGUAAAUGUCGGACUAUGCGGGAAAGCU
rnacentral:ncRNA from 1 species